CCAUCUUACUUUCCCUUCGCUUCCGUCCUCGUCUAUUGUCUCUCCCGUGAUUCCGUGAAAGAAAGAGAUAAGGCAAUCUCCAGUUCUUCUCCUUCUCCCAUUGCUGUGGAAUCGGAUAUUCCGGUCAUCCGCCAUAGCAUCAGAGAGGAAAGGAUAAUAGCAGCGUUUGGAAGGCGAUGCGAAUCGUGGUGGAGAUGUCGCUGCCAUGCCUUAUCCUGCUCGCGAUCCUGGCCCUUGCUUGCUACCUUGUUGGUUGGGCCAGGGGCCGGUCCGACUUCCCAGCACUACGGGCCGCCUGGCCUCCAGGAAAAGUAAGGGUCUUACAUGGAUAUCACAUAUAAACAACUACUACUCUCACCAUAUGAGCUUGAUUGUGGUUUUAUUUGUAAGAUAUGAUGUUGGUGGGUUUGAUAUGCUUUUUUUGCGUCUUUGUUAAGCAUGGGUUUUAAACAAUAAUUUUAUAUUUGUUUUAUUAUUAUUCAGUUGACUAGUUUGAUAAACAUGACCCUCAAUCUUGGUUAGUUAACUUCUUAAA